AACGAACGCUGGCGGCAGGCCUAACACAUGCAAGUCGAACGCCCUGGCAACAGGGAGUGGCAGACGGGUGAGUAACGCGUGGGAACGUGCCCUUCGGUUUGGAAUAACUCAGGGAAACUUGAGCUAAUACCGAAUACGUGCGAGAGCAGAAAGAUUUAUCGCCGAAGGAUCGGCCCGCGUCCGAUUAGCUAGUUGGUGAGGUAAUGGCUCACCAAGGCGACGAUCGGUAGCUGGUCUGAGAGGAUGAUCAGCCACAAUGGGACUGAGACACGGCCCAGACUCCUACGGGAGGCAGCAGUGGGGAAUAUUGGACAAUGGGCGCAAGCCUGAUCCAGCCAUGCCGCGUGAGUGAUGAAGGCCCUAGGGUUGUAAAGCUCUUUCGCCAGGGACGAUAAUGACGGUACCUGGAUAAGAAGCCCCGGCUAACUUCGUGCCAGCCGCCGCCGUAA
rnacentral:rRNA from 1 species